rnacentral:rRNA from 1 species
AGAGUUUGAUCAUGGCUCAGGAUGAACGCUAGCUACAGGCUUAACACAUGCAAGUCGAGGGGCAGCAUUUCGCUAGCAAUAGUGAAGAUGGCGACCGGCGCACGGGUGAGUAACACGUAUCCAACCUGCCGAUAACUCGGGAUAGCCUUUCGAAGAAAGAUUAAUAUCCGAUGGUAUAUUAAAACCGCAUGGUUUACAUUAAAGAUUUCGGUUAUCGAUGGGAUGCGUUCCAUUAG